CCUGGCACACCGUCUAUGCCAGGUAAAACCCUCACCCGCUGCCUGGCACACCGUCUAUGCCAGGUAAAACCCUCCCCGCCGCCUGGCACACCGUCUAUGCCAGGUACAAAGGAAGGAAGGCACGGUGUGUUAGAUGUUGGUGUUAUAACCAGUUAACCACUGAGACUAUAUAUCGGGUGGUUUCCCAGACACUGUGAUUACACCUACUGUCCUGGACUUAACAGCAUGUUCCAUGCAGAUUCUCCGUUGAGAAUGAUUUUUAGUUCAGGACUAGUUAGAAUCUGUGUCCGGGAAACUGGCCCAUAGUGUGACUUUCUUUAUUUCUUUGUGUGUAUUAGGUAACACUUUACAUUACAGGUUCCUUAUUACUGUUGAAUGAUUAUUUCAGUCUAACGAGUGUUGUAAUUACUCAUUACUACACUGUACUUUGGAUUAUUGCUAUUUAAAAACGUUUUCUUUGUUCUUCCACAAUGUCUA